rnacentral:snRNA from 1 species
AAAGGCCUUUUGGCUAAGAUCAAGUGUACGUCGUGUCUGUUCUUAUCAGUUUAGUAUCUGAUAUGUGGGUUAUCAACCCACUCGAUAUUAAUCUUAUUUUUUAUGGGGGAAGGCCCGCCACUGGGGGUCUUCACGCGUCGCCUUGGGUUUUACACUUUUACACUACCGCCGAGGCCAGA